rnacentral:rRNA from 1 species
CCUACGGGGGGCAGCAGUGAGGAAUAUUGGUCAAUGGGCUUACGCCUGAACCAGCCAAGUCGCGUGAGGGAAGACUGCCCUAUGGGUUGUAAACCUCUUUUGUCAGGGAGCAAUUGGCGCUACGUGUAGCGUUAUCGAGAGUACCUGAAGAAAAAGCAUCGGCUAACUCCGUGCCAGCAGCCGCGGUAAUACGGAGGAUGCGAGCGUUAUCCGGAUUUAUUGGGUUUAAGGGGUGCGUAGGCGGAAUGCCAAGUCAGCGGUAAAAUCGCGGGGCUCAACCUCGCUCCGCCGUUGAAACUGGCGGUCUUGAGUGGGCGAGAAGUAUGCGGAAUGCGGGGUGUAGCGGUGAAAUGCAUAGAUAUCACGCAGAACUCCGAUUGCGAAGGCAGCAUACCGGCGCCCAACUGACGCUGAAGCACGAAAGCGUGGGUAUCGAACAGGAUUAGAUACCCCUGUAGUC